CUUCAUUUUAAUACUGAUUCGGUUACGCUUAUUUGUGUAAAGUUGUAUACGAUGAGUCAACGCGAUAUUGACACAGCACUAUUGCCUCAGACUCAUUUUUAUGAGCAGGUUAAUGUGCAUUAAGUACACCACAGUUCUGUAAGUGGAAAAAGUAUUCAUAUUUAUGUGUUUUCUCACAGUUUAGGGCAAACGUUUCCCGCGCAAGUUUGAAUCUCUCUCAGUCAGUCAGGGGGAGAUUAACUGACUGACUGUCUACACGCCACCAAACAGUCAGUUAUACAGAAACCAUUUUAAGUUUAGCACAAACGUUUCACGCGCAAGUUUGGAUCUUUACCAUUGAGGGUGGCUGACUGUUCUCGACCAACCAUCAUUCACACGCAAAAAGUUUAAAGAUAAGUAUGAACGUGCCCAGAGCAGUUUUCGAUCUUUACCAUUAAGGAGGCUGACUGACUAUCCUCUACCACCCGUCAUUAACACAAGAAAAACUAAAGAAAUGUUACUCCAUAUGGACCUAUUCAAUUACUCAUUAUGCUGUGAGUACACCACAGUUUUAUCAGGGAAAAAAAUUAUAUUUGUGUGUUUCUCACUUCUUGGCAAGGACAGAUGUGGCCCUGUUAAAAAUGUUUAAAUGUCGUUUGGUUUAAGGAACAGCACACUGAUUUUGUUUUAAAAUAUUCCUGUUUGGACAGUCUGUUAAAGUCAUAAAGGAAUACUUGAUAUAUUUCAUAAGUAAAGUGUAAAUGUAAUAUUAGUUUUUAAUGUUGUAACUGAUUUGGACUAAACAGCACACUUCUGUUUUAUAUCUAAACCUUUUGUAAAAUAAAUGA